GAGGAUAUAGCUCAGUGGUAGAGCGCAUACUUAGCACACGCAAGGUCCUGGGUUCAAUUCCCAGUAUCGCCA
rnacentral:tRNA from 1 species